AUUGAACGCUGGCGGCAGGCCUAACACAUGCAAGUCGAACGGUAACAGGAAACAGCUUGCUGUUUCGCUGACGAGUGGCGGACGGGUGAGUAAUGUCUGGGAAACUGCCUGAUGGAGGGGGAUAACUACUGGAAACGGUAGCUAAUACCGCAUAACGUCGCAAGACCAAAGAGGGGGACCCUCGGGCCUCUUGCCAUCGGAUGUGCCCAGAUGGGAUUAGCUUGUUGGUGGGGUAGCGGCUCACCAAGGCGACGAUCCCUAGCUGGUCUGAGAGGAUGACCAGCCACACUGGAACUGAGACACGGUCCAGACUCCUACGGGAGGCAGCAGUGGGGAAUAUUGCACAAUGGGCGCAAGCCUGAUGCAGCCAUGUCGCGUGUAUGAAGAAGGCCU
rnacentral:rRNA from 1 species